rnacentral:lncRNA from 1 species
GCCCACUAGACAUGUACACCUUACAAUCAUUCUAUACAACAAAUAUAGUAGACCUAUUGCAUAUAGUAUGAGAAAAACAGACCAAAACACAAAAAUUUAACUAUAACCACUGAACCAUGAAAAAGAGGUCAAGGUCAGAUGACACCUGUCAGUUGGACAUGUACACCUUACAGUCCUUCCAUACACCGAAUAUACUAGCCCUAUUGCUUAUAGUAUCUGAGAUAUGGACUUGACCACCAAAACUUAACCUUGUUCACUGAUCCAUAAAAUGAGGUCGAGGUCAAGUGAAAACUGUCUGACAGACAUGAGGACCUUGCAAAGUACGCACAUAUCAAAUAUAGUUAUCCUAUUACUUAUAAUAAGAGAGAAU